AAUAGAUACCCUGGUAGUCCACGCCGUAAACGAUGGUCACUAGAUGUGGGGGGUGUCGACUCCCUCCGUGUCGUAGCUAACGCGUUAAGUGACCCGCCUGGGGAGUACGGCCGCAAGGCUAAAACUCAAAGGAAUUGACGGGGACCCGCACAAGCAGCGGAGCAUGUGGAUUAAUUCGACGCAAUGCGAAGAACCUUACCUGGGCUUGACAUACUGCUGACCGCCGUGGAAACACGGCUUUCCUUCGGGACAGCAAUACAGGUGGUGCAUGGCUGUCGUCAGCUCGUGUCGUGAGAUGUUGGGUUGAGUCCCGCAACGAGCGCAACCCCCGUCCCAUGUUGCCAGCAUUCAGUUGGGGACUCAUGGGAGACUGCCGGUGACAAACCGGAGGAAGGUGGGGAUGACGUCAAGUCAUCAUGCCCCUUAUGUCCAGGGCUUCACACGUGCUACAUUGGCGCAUACAGAGGGCUGCGAUACCGCAAGGUGGAGCGAAUCCCAAAAAGUGCGUCUCGGUUCGGAUUGGGGG
rnacentral:rRNA from 1 species